GGAGGGGCACUGGAAACCACAUAAGCUAUGAGAUGAUCUGAGAUUUUGAGAUUAUUGCAGAAAUGAGUCUGAUUGAAGUACAUGACUGUAUACCUGCGUCCCAAGCUUAUUAAUCACAUUGAGAUACAGAAAUAUGCCACUCUUGGGCCACACACAUGUGUACAUAUACACACACAUAUAUUUGUAUGUAUCUUUUUCUUAAAAGGCUUAAAAAGUUGCUGAAACAGAGCAUUUUUAUGUUAGGGCUCUUGCUGGACUUGAAAUAGACCUGGCCUGGAUGGGCUUUUCUCUCUCCCUGCCUGGGGCCAGGCAGGCUCCCCUGGACUGGGAUGCGCCUGCACCUCCCCCACCUGGGACGGGAAGCCAGUAGCGGUUGUGCUGGGAAUCUUCGGCUCUCCAGUUGCCCUCAGGAGUCUCAGCAGGUCCCUAGAGCAAGCUGAAGGCUCUGGGCCACAGCUCACUAAAUAGCUCCCACGUUCUGUUCUGUUAGCACGGUGGUCGGUGGUUGCAGCAGGAAGGGGAGGGAGGCACGGGUGAAGGGAGGUGGGAAGUGACUGCUGGUGGCCCAGUCAGUGUUAGGUGCCAUUUAGGUGCUGACACUGGUGGCUGGGCUAUUCACAACAGGCCUCUGCAGAUUGUGUGAGGCUGCCUAGCAGAGCCCCCUGGGACUCGGGGAAUGUGACUCCCUUUCUGGUGAUUCUACCAGAUGGAGAUAUUUCAGAGACAUCACCUUAUAGGAGACAGAACCAACUGUAGAAGAGGGCCACAUACCUCCCCAACGCAGUGAAAGUCACAAGUCUGGAGGCAGUCAGAGCUGGGAAGAAACAGGUGCACAUGGUGUGAAACAGUCACUCAAAUUCCCACCCUCUCAGGCCACAGAAUGUGUAAGACCUGAAGUGCCAGGGUAUUUGCUUAUGCUGGGAGGGUCCUCCCUCCGAGGGGAGAGAGCUUUGAGGGUUACCCAAAGGGCAGAAGUGCUGAUGAACACUUGCGUUGAGUCACAAGCAUCUCUUGACCCGCAUCAUGUUCUGAGGUUUCUCCUUUGACCAUGGCCAGAGAUGCAGCCAUGUCCUAAGAAUGUUUGGGAUCCAGAUAGGCGCUGUCACCCAAAAGGCCUGCACUGGGCGGGGCGGGGUGCGGGGAGGAGACCGUAGGAUUUGGACAAAGCCCCUGGAAGCCCUUUUAAGCCCACUCCACAUGAGCAGCUUCUGGUGUCUCCCCAACCUGUCCCAUACACAGGUCUAUACCUUCUGACCCCCAGUGGGGUGGCAAGCGGCUAGCUGCUGUAGACUGCCAUGCCAGGAGCACACAUGACACCUCCUUCCCCAUGUUUAUGUCCCUUCAUCCCCAACAUAUAGUAUUUCCAUUAUCUUUUACCCUGCAUGGACUCUUGUGAUGAGAUGCAUUUCCAAGAAACCUCCUUUUCUCUUGGUGUUACAGGAAAGCGGCUCCUUGGAGUAUGGGGGAAAAUAGGGAGGAAGGACAUGGAAAGAUGGGAGUAUAGUCCUGGGUUGCUCAUGGGGUGUUCUUUUACUGAAAAAAAAAUUGCACAUUUGAAGAUAUAUAAGCAGGAAAGGAAGGGAAGGGAUGGAGGAAGGAAGGAAAGAAAAGAGGAAGGAAGAGGGGGAGGGAGAAGGAGGGGGAAGCUGGAAUCCAAUCUUUCUUCCUCGGGUAAUGGUUACUUUUUUAGGACUUUUUUUUUUUUUUUUUUACAUUUCUUUAGUUUUUCUGCUCACCAUUCCUCCAGUUUUAACCCAAUGAAGCUGAUGACUUGCUAACUGACUCUUUAUAAGAGUGAAACUACUUGAAAUUCUCAGGUAAUUCAGAGCUUUGAGUGCAUAAAAUUUGUAAUUUUCCCUAAAGGGCUAACAAACUAUUCCCUUUGCUACUCUGUUAGCUGUGUCUGAGGACCUGAUUUGGAUGUAUAUUUGAGGAUUUAAGGGAAGCAGAGUCACAGACACCAUUAAUUUUGAGAUUCCAAUUGUUGACCUCCACUGAACAAAUGAUCAGACAUGCAUCUAUAGAAGGAAAGUUCUAGAACUUGGCACUUCCAAGCUGAUGGUAAGUGCCCUAGUCCCUCUUGUUUCAAUGAGGUGGGAGUUUGCUGCAGGAGCUUUAGUCCCUCCUGAAACCUGCCUUUGUAUCCUGCUGGGAACCUUGUCCUCCCUUCUGUAUGUAUCCCAUCUUCAUCAUUCGUUCCUCUGUUCUGCGAAGCAGCUCUGUGAGUAGAAUAUGGCUUCUGAAGCUCAGACCAUGCUUUCUUUACUCUUGAGUUUGCUGGUCUUAAAAAUAACUUACAGUGAACUAUAGGCUGAAGAUUAAGUUGACCAGCUGAACCUCCCAAAUACACAGGAUUAUGGCCACCUUGCUCUUCACAAAAUUCUCCACCUAAGGGAAUUUAAAUAAGCCUAUUUCCAGCCCCAUCUCUCAGGAGUAGGUCAGUAUGGAAGUGGCUUAGCUAGAGAAGGAGUGGGGAAGGGCUAAAGACAUACCCUCACCUUUUAUCACACCUGACCUGCAUACUUCUUACAUGAAACUGUGUUACAGGCCAAGGAGUGUCUUUAUGCAUUUGGCUGAUGACCUUGGCUGUGUAAUGAAUGGACCCCUUUGGAUAGAAAAAGAAGCUCUUAAAACAAAAUUUAAUUUCAUUAACUGAGCACCUGUUAUAUGCAAAACAGUCCUUGCCCAUGGGUGCUGCAAUAAGGGAGGAAAAGCAUUGAUCCAAACUGUGGAAGGUGUAAAGGCUAAGAAUGACAUUCCACCUAACAGAAUAGUGUAAAGACUUGCAGUAGGAAAUCAGUGUGACCUUGGGCCAACUAUUUAGCCUCUUCCAUCAUCAGUUUUUUUGUUUCCAAAAUGUUCCUUUCAGCUCUAACACACUCUGGUCACUAUGACUCAGCUGGAAACUCAAAGAACUCUAGUGAAAGGUAGGAUGAUAAAUUCACAGAGGCACAGGGCGAAUGCUGAGAGGCUCCAGCAGAGGGAGCACUUGACUCUAAAAGUAAAGGGGGACGUCUGAGCUGAGCCCAUCAGUAUUUCCCUUCUCCAGAGCUACAGACCAAAGCUCCUGGCUGCUGCAGAUUGCACCUGGCCCUUGGUCUCAUUUAGGGAGCAGUAAUAAUGGCAGAUUUAGGUUUCCUCUCUCUGCCCUCUGCCCUGGCUGGCAGCAGCAGGAGGACCUGGGGAGGCUGGAGGAAGGCAGCCCGCCCUGUCGCAGUAGCUCAGAACUGCGCUUUCCCAUCUAGACUCCACCUGCUGUAGCUUCUGGGACUGCAGUCAGGACAUUAGCGACCUUGGGUCAGCAGGAGGUGGGGACUUGGUGGUCAGCAAAGCAUUUCCUGUCCAGAAGGAAGUUCUAGGAACCUCUGGAAGGAACACAUGGGCAAAGACCACUCUCCUAAAACCACAGGCAGACAAACUCCCAGACACCCAGGUCUGUUACUGCAGGAGGUGGUGGGUGGAAAAUAGCAGGAAACAGGUCUCGGGGGCACGGGGGCAGGUGGUUUGACCUGGUGGCUUCUCUGUGUCCCACGAAGAUGCUAGAGGAGGCCCUUUCUGGCAAAAUUGGAAACGGAGGACUCUUCUAGCAAAAUUCUUUUGUUUGCUCCUGUUGUCCAUGCCCCCAACGUAGGUUUGGGUAAAUAAUUCAAAUUUCUGGAAGGUGGUAGGAAUAAUUCAUUUUUCUUCAUACUGAAUUAGGAGUAUUGUUUUCAGUAUAGAAAAGCAUCUGAAUUUGAACACCAACUUAAGACAAAACAAACAAACAAACCCAUCCAAUUGGAGGAACCAGAGGGAAAAGCAAUAAUUUAAUUUGAAUAAGCAUGCCACUGAGACUGCAAUGUUAGUCUCCCUGACCAGCCUCCUGUGUUGUUGCACUGAUCAGAGCUUGGGAAGAGGGGUCUCUGCAAGUGAGCCUUUUAAUCCUGGUCUCAGCCCACCCCCUCAACCCUGUCACCAUGAGCUUAGACAGCAGGUUCUGGGAGCCUUGCAGAUCACAACAGCAUGGCCAGUUGGUUUCCCUUCUUCCUACUCAGAUGGGACACGAGGGGAGGAGAAUGGCUGGUGAGGACGACUCGGCACCCCUCACCCCAUGUUCAGACCUUCCUGCAUCAAGGACAAGUUCCCCAUCCCCAGGUGGAGUGUGGCCCCCACCUGGAACGAGAAACAUAGGAAGGGGUAUUUCAAGGCCGGCAAGUCACUAAUAAAAAUUAAGAUUCCACUUACCACGCACUCUGCAGUCCUCGGCUGUCCUCUCCUCCUCUGGUUCGUCAGUGGCACAUGUCAUUCUUGGUGCUCCAAGUGGCCAGGACUUCCAGGUUUCUUGGCCAGAUUAUAAGGUGGAGUAAUUCUAAUCCAACACUCAUGGUUCUCAGCUCUCUGGACAGAUGCGCACAUUUCUGUGUUCUCACUAAUACAGACCUGGUGCUAUUUGUGGCUAACAGUGCCUACGGAUGUAAUUCCUACAUUUUCUCUUUUUUUCCUAAUGCAUUGCCACCAUGGAAUCGCAUUAGAAAGAUAGAUGUCCAUGGAGGAUUUUCCAUAGCACAAGAUCUUUGUUCUUAUUCUAAAUUUUUUAGGAGGGCUUGGUUUCCAGUGUCUGAGUACCACCCCCCCCCUUUAUUUUUAACAAUGGAAAUGUUUUCCUUUCCUAUUAGCCAAAAUGAAAUUUCAGUCAAAAGAACCACAUCAGGCUCUCGCUUCCCUCUCUCCCUGGUGAGUUGAAAUGGACAGAGGUACACGGGUUGGGAUCAUUUUUGAAUCAGUUGCUCCAGGGUUCUUGCUAGAGAUGAAAGACUUUUCUGUUCCUCCACCACAGUGAGGUCAGGGCAGUGACAACAAACAUUUAACUUCUCGAAACCUUGUGGUGCCUUUUCUUGUGGUGCUUCUCUCGUGUAACUCCAGACAAGGCAGCCACUUGCAGCAAACAGCAAUGCCAGUGCUUUUCCUUGGUAUUAUGUGCCAGUGCAGUAAAAGACUUUAAUGUAUACAUAUAUAAAUAGAUAUAGAUAUAGAGAUAUCACUAUAGUUAUAUAAUUAUAUAAUUGAGGUUCUGAUGCAGCUUUGGUGGGAGUUGAUCUUUCCUCUGCAAAAAUCGACACUACUCAACCGGAACUAAGAGCUCUGGGGAGAGUUUGGACUUCCGGGAAGGGCACCAGUGAAUGAGAUGGGUUACUCCUGUCACAGGUUUUCUUCUCCUCUCUUGUGAAAGUUGCUGUCUCCAUAACAUGAUGUGUUUGCUAAGGGAGCAAAGAGCAGCUUCUUUUGAACUUCCUUUGGUGCUGAUAUUUUAAAAAUUAUGUGUUUGUUUUGCUUCCUCAUCGGUGGCCAGUAAGCUGCUUUUCCAAAAUCUCAACUCACCGAUCAAAGGUGACAGGGGACAGUCUGGGAAUAAGAGGCUAGAGGUCAGGAAUCCCUGCCUCUUAAUCCAGAUAGUUUCCUCUGUGACCUGCACAUGUUUCCCAGACUCAGUCUCCCCAUCUAAAAGAGACAUUGUACUUCCUUACCUCAUGGGGAAGGGUGACCUGAAAGGAUUCAGCAGAGGCACGAAAAUACAAAGUCAUUAUUAAUCUGGAGACAGCAACUUGACAUGUGUUUAAGAUUUUGUUUGUAUGUUUUGCUAAGAUUUUGAUCUUGGGGUUUUGCUUUGUUCCUCUCUUGCUCCUCCAUCUCCACCAUGUGGUCCGUCCUCCCUUUGGCAAUACCUUUGAAAAUUGUGUAACUGACAGACGCAACCUAAAGGGUUGGGUAGUGCUAUUUCUCCCAUGGGAACAACAUCACUAAUACUGUAUAAGGUGCUAGAAUCAAACCUCAUUUUAUAAACUUUGGUUCUUAGAGAAAAACAAAACAUGCAGAAUUCUUUCUGUGAAGCCUUACUCUAGAUUGUUAUAGCCAAUUGUUUAUCCAAAAAGAGAGAGAGAGAAUAGAAAAUAAAGAUAAGAUGCAGUGAUUCUAUAUAAAAUGUAACUAAAAGAUCUUUGCUAUUUCCUAUAUUAAUGUAAACUAUCAUAUAUAUAUAUAUUUGUAUAUAUAUAUGCUUGAGGCAGAUAGAAAGAAUGAAACAAAAUGUAGAGUAUGUUCAUCUUUAUUUUAAUUUCCAGUCGGUUCACAACUUUUAGUAUGUGAGCAAGUGAGGAUGAUGGUAGGAUGGGAGGGGAUAAGGGAUUCCUGGUAUGAUAUAGGAAAUGACUCAUUUCUGUUCUGUUCUAUAUGUUAUUAGAAGGAAUUUGACUGAAUGAGGAGAAAGGGAAAUCAACGAAAACAUAAACGUGCUUUCUAAAUGUUCUGAACAUUGACAUUAUGCUUUGGUGUUGUUUCUUCUGUAUUCUAAGUUUCUGGAGAGCGCUGUAAAACAUGUCUGCUGCCUAAGGUGUUAACACAUAAUGUUUACCUCAAGAAAGC
rnacentral:lncRNA from 1 species